rnacentral:rRNA from 1 species
ACACGUAGGGGCCUGACGUUGUUCGGAAUCAUUGGGCGUAAAGGGCGCGCAGGCGGCCGUCCAAGUCCGGUGUUAAAUGGUCGGGCUCAACCCGAUCAUGCGCUGGAAACUGGGCGGCUUGAGUCCCGUAGGGGAUGCCGGAAUUCCAGGUGUAGGGGGGAAAUCUGUAGAUAUCUGGAAGAACACCGAUGGCGAAGGCAGGCACCUGGCCGGAGACUGACGCUGAGGCGCGAAGGCGCGGGGAGCGAACAGGUUUAGAUACCCUGGUAGUCCGCGCAGUAAACGAUGCGCACCAGGUGUCGGGCGGCAGCGCCCGGUACCGGAGCUAACGCGAUGAGUGCGCCGCCUGGGGAGUAUGCCCGCAAGGGUGAAACUCAAAUGAAUUGACGGGG